UACGUAGGGAGCAAGCGUUGUCCGGAAUCAUUGGGCGUAAAGCGCGCGUAGGCGGCCUCAUAAGUCCGUUGUGAAAGUCAAAGGCUCAACCUUUGAAAGCCGAUGGAUACUGUGAGGCUAGAGUCCCGGAGAGGAAGGCAGAAUUCCCGGUGUAGGGGUGAAAUCCGUAGAUAUCGGGAGGAAUACCAGCGGCGAAGGCGGCCUUCUGGACGGUGACUGACGCUGAGACGCGAAAGCGUGGGGAGCAAACAGG
rnacentral:rRNA from 1 species